UACGAAGGGGGCUAGCGUUGUUCGGAAUUACUGGGCGUAAAGGGCGUGUAGGCGGACCAAUCAGUCAGGGGUGAAAUCCCGGGGCUCAACCUCGGAACUGCCUUUGAUACUGUUGGUCUUGAGGACGGGAGAGGGUCGUGGAAUUCCCAGUGUAGAGGUGAAAUUCGUAGAUAUUGGGAAGAACACCGGUGGCGAAGGCGGCGACCUGGACCGUAUCUGACGCUGAGGCGCGAAAGCAUGGGGAGCAAACAGG
rnacentral:misc_RNA from 1 species